ACUGCUGCUUAAUAAAGAAGAAUUGAGAUUGACCUCUAAACUCAGACACUGUCUUGAAGGACUUUGAGAACAAGAAGGGUUCAGGCAGAUUUUACUGUCAUACCUACAGGAUGCCAGCCUUUGAUCUUUUCUCUUGUGGUCACCUUUCUCAAGACUUUUUCUGUCUUCGUGAGGAGAAGUCAGAAGGGGAAAGGAUAAUGACCAGGUGUCUAACAAAUGUUUCUCGCGACCCAGUGACCUUUGAGGAUGUGGCUGUGGAAUUCACCCAGGAGGAGUGGACUUUGCUGGAUCAAACCCAGAGAGGUCUGUGCAGAGAUGUGAUGCUGGAGAACUACAACAGUCUGACUGCAAUAGAUUGGGAGAUUUGUCUUAAUACCAAAUGGUCAGCACCUCAGCAGAAUAUUUUGCAGGGGAAAACACCCAAUGUGGUAGAAAUGGAGAGAAGCCAUAUUGGAGAGUAAUUGUUUAAUUUUCACCAUUGGGAAGAAGCCUUGAGUGAACACUCCUUUAAGAUUCAUAGAGUACUCACAUUAGAAAGAAAACUUGUGAGUGCAACCAGUGUGUAAAAGCAUUCACAAAGAACUCUGCCCUUAAUCUACACAAUAAGACCCAUAAUGGAGAAAAGCCUCCUAAGUGUAAUCAGUGUGAAACAGUCUUCAGCCAAAAUCCAUAUCUGGUUCACAAGAAAACUUACACUCAAAAGAAACCCUAUAAAUGUACAACUGUGGGAAAGGCAUUCCUUCUUCCUUACACCUUAGAGAAUGUGUAAGAAUUAAUAGUGGAGAAAGGCCACAUACCCUUAAGGAAUGUAGGAAAGCUUUUUCUCAUUCUAUAGGCUUUUUUGUACAUACGCAAAUGAACAAUAGAAAGAAGUCUUAGAAAUUGUAAGAAUGUGGGAAAACCUUUAUUUGAUCUUGUCUUACUCAUCAUUUAAGAACUCAUAGUGAACUGAUGGCCUAUGGAAUGUAAGAAAUUUGAGAAAGCCUUUCCUUGUUCCCCAAACCUUGCUUAAAUUAUACAACUUCAUAUGAGAAACAUUGUGUUUUCAAGGAGUGUAGUAAAGAGUUUGUUUCCCAAAAACUUAAUACUCACAUGUGAGUUCACCCUGGAGAAAAAACCAUAUGAGUGUAGCAAAUAACCUGGAAACCUUCACCGAUUCUGCAGGUCUUAUAAAACACAAAAGAACUCACACUGGAGAGAAGACUUAGGAAUGUAAGGAACGUGGAAAAGGCUUUGUUCCUUACACCUUACUGUACAUUUAAGAACUCAAACUGGCAAGAAGCCUUAUGUUUGUAAGGAAGGUCGGAAAGCCUUUAGUAACUCAUCUUGCUUUAAAUUCACAUGCAAACUCUAAAACCCUGUAAUGGUAAGCAGUGUGGGAAAGCCUUUAUUUGAUCCUCAUUUCUUAUUCAACAUUUAGGAACUCACAGUGUAGAAAACCUUUUGAAUGUAAGGAAAUAUGGGAAAGUAUCGAAAGACCUUUUGAAUGUAAGGAAAUAUAGGAAAUCAUUUAGAUAUUCCUCAUACUUUAGUCAACAUAACACAUACUGGAGAGAAGCCAUGUAAAUGUAAAAAAUGUGAGAGAGCCUUCACUAUUUCAUCAGGCCUUAUAGUACAAAUGAGAACUCACACUGGUGGAUGACCUUUUGAAUGUAAGGACUGUGGGAAAGCCUUUACUCAGUCCACAUAUUUUAUUCAACAUUUAAGAACUCACAGUGGAGAAAACCCAUACAUAGAUGAGGAAUGUGGGAAAACCUUUAAUAAUAGUUCUGACCUCACAGACUGCCUGAAAGUGUCUUGGGGUCUCUCAGUCUGGCAACAACAUUUUGAGAACUGCUGUUAG